rnacentral:rRNA from 1 species
UACAGAGGGUGCAAGCGUUAUUCGGAAUUACUGGGCGUAAAGCGCGCGUAGGUGGUUCGUUAAGUUGGAUGUGAAAUCCCCGGGCUCAACCUGGGAACUGCAUUCAAAACUGUCGAGCUAGAGUAUGGUAGAGGGUGGUGGAAUUUCCUGUGUAGCGGUGAAAUGCGUAGAUAUAGGAAGGAACACCAGUGGCGAAGGCGACCACCUGGACUGAUACUGACACUGAGGUGCGAAAGCGUGGGGAUCAAACAGG